AGUCCUGUAGCUCAGUGGUUAGAGCACUCGCCUGGCAAGCAAGAGACCUGGGUUCAAUUCCUGGGCAGGGCGA